GCCCCGAUGGCCGAGUGGUUAAGGCGGAAGACUUAAGCUCAUUCACACUUCGUGUGUAUAUCUGCAGGUUUCUUCUGACGAAAGUCGCGCGAGUUCGAACCUCGUUCUGGGCA